GGGGAAACGACAUCGAAAGCUUGCUUUUGAUGGGCGUCGACCGGCGCACGGGUGAGUAACGCGUAUCCAACCUGCCCACCACUUGGGGAUAACCUUGCGAAAGUAAGACUAAUACCCAAUGAUAUCUCUAGAAGACAUCUGAAAGAGAUUAAAGAUUUAUCGGUGAUGGAUGGGGAUGCGUCUGAUUAGCUUGUUGGCGGGGUAACGGCCCACCAAGGCAACGAUCAGUAUGGGUUCUGAGAGGAAGGUCCCCCACAUUGGAACUGAGACACGGUCCAAACUCCUACGGGAGGCAGCAGUGAGGAAUAUUGGUCAAUGGGCGAGAGCCUGAACCAGCCAAGUAGCGUGCAGGAUGACGGCCCUAUGGGUUGUAAACUGCUUUUAUAAGGGAAUAAAGUGAGUCUCGUGAGACUUUUUGCAUGUACCUUAUGAAUAAGGACCGGCUAAUUCCGUGCCAGCAGCCGCGGUAAUACGGAAGGUCCGGGCGUUAUCCGGAUUUAUUGGGUUUAAAGGGAGCGUAGGCCGGAGAUUAAGCGUGUUGUGAAAUGUAGACGCUCAACGUCUGCACUGCAGCGCGAACUGGUUUCCUUGAGUACGCACAAAGUGGGCGGAAUUCGUGGUGUAGCGGUGAAAUGCUUAGAUAUCACGAAGAACUCCGAUUGCGAAGGCAGCUCACUGGAGCGCAACUGACGCUGAAGCUCGAAAGUGCGGGUAUCGAACAGGAUUAGAUACCCUGGUAGUCCGCACGGUAAACGAUGGAUGCCCGCUGUUGGUCUGAAUAGGUCAGCGGC
rnacentral:rRNA from 1 species